AAGACUUGGUGGGAAAAUACAACUAGCAGUAAGGUGACCAGUUAAGAGGCUAUUGCUAUAGUCCACAUUAGAGCUAAUAUAGACCUACACAGUGUCAGUAGAGAUGGAACAGAGGAGCUGUAUUUAAAAGAUAUUUAGGAGGGGAAGUUGGCUUGGCUUGGUAAUGGGUUGGCUGUGGGUGUGUGUUGUAUAUUAAAUAAUUUUGCUGGUCUUUAUCUCUGGUUCCGGGGAGGUAAACUCUAAACUUCGGGAUUUCCUGAGUGACAGGAGUGUCUUUGUUAUUUAUGCUGGGCUUCCUGGACCACCCCUAAUUUAUGCUAAUGAGGUGAUUGAUGGUGUGCCACUAGAUGAUUUCAGGAUGGGGGCUGGCCAUGCCAGUAAGAUUAACUAUGUGAUUAAAAGUUUGGAGUUUUGAGCCAAGUGAAACCGACCGGACCUCCCAACCUUAGGGAGGGGAGGAGUGGGGACUUGGAGAUUGAGUUC
rnacentral:lncRNA from 1 species